CUUUGUUAACUGUGUGAUCUUGGACAACUCACUCAACUCUUCUGGGUUCCAGUCCUCAUCUUUCUGCCCCUUGUUAGUAUCAAGGAAGCCUCUCCCCCCGCUUUUCUUUUGAUUGUGACAUUAGCUGUGUCACUACUGCAAACUCCCACCUCUCCCAGGGCCACUAGUGCUGGAUCUAUAAAGGACGGUUGAACGCUAUUGGAACUGUUCUGUCUUGAGCUCUGGCGAAGCUCACGUGAAAGCAUUUGUUUUCUGUGAAUGACUAGAACCGUCCAGGGAAAGCCAAUUCACAAACCUUCUCUUUACGUCUGACAACUUUGGUUGGGGGAUCAUUGCCGAAGUUCCCCCUUGCUGGCGGCUGGAUCCUGUUGACUCAUUCCUAGGACACUUCAGCAACUGCAGACACACUCAGAGCAGUCACGGCCUCUGCUCUAAGCAGGACAAGCCUCAGUGAACUCGGGUGACCUUGCUGACCCUCGGCCUUCUCACUCAGGCCAUAGGGGAGCCAUGCUGGCUCAGCGGAAGGGUGGGAUAGUGAAUCCUUCAUUUCCUCCCAACUGGUCUUUCCCUUGACAGCUUUAGAUUUCUCUUGUAAGUAGAGGAGGCAGAACUGGUCACAUGAAGAGGAGCUCUCAGUGCUGCAGUGGCGGUGGAGGCAGCAAGGGCAAUCAUGGGGGUGGUGGGAGAAAUUGCAAGAGGCUGGCUGAAGCGUUCUAGAGAGAGGCUAGGAACAGAGACGCCAAAGGGAAACAGAAAACAGAGAAGGCUAUGAAGAACUGAAGAUAGGGGGUCUGUGGGUCCUGGAGUUGAACUUGGUUCAGGGAACUGCCAAGCCCUAAGAGUCAAAGGUCCUGACACCAAGGCCCAGGAGCUAAAACCCUAGUGUCCAGGGUCCCAAGGCCUGAGUUGGAAAGCUGUAAAAAUAGCCACUUGUGAGAGCCAUGGGUGUGGAGCAGUCACUCUUGCUGGUGCUGGCUGCUACUGAGAGCUAAGGAUGCCCCUAGUUGUGUUCAGAGCCCAGGCCAAGUACUCCCAAUUCAGCAGCAGACGCUUUGCCCAUGGUGACAUCUCCCCAGCUCUCAAAUCGUAGAGGAAGGAAAGGAGAGGGCAAGGUUCUUCCGAUGGCAAAUCCUCUGAGUCUGCGCGGGGCUUUGGAGAGGAUGUAUGUACCCUGGGUCCUGAUGUUGACAAAGUACCCAAAGAUGGACAUACUGUACCUCUGCUGUGAAAGUCAGGCAUGUCUGUGGGCACGUCUGGAUGAACAACAGAAGGGGUGGUCUCAAAAGCCUCCCCUCCCCAGCGUGGUGGGCCUCAUCCAACCAGCUCAAGUGCUGGGGGAAACAACAGGGCAGAGGAGGAUGUGACCCUUUGCUGGCUGACUCCUGCAGCUCUACCACCACGGUCUACCUCUUGCCCUGACCCAUUGGCUCUUCCGACUCCAAGGACCUCCAACCUCAGAGAGAGCGACAGCAAAGAGAGGCUGGUGGACAGCGGCAGCCUGUCUUGGACCUCUUGGCCUCCAGAGCGGAGUUGCUGUUUUCCUAUUGUCCACAAGGAGUGGAAUCCAGAAUGGCUCUUAGGCUGCCAACCCCAUGGGUGCUUGAACGCCUUACAUAUAAGGGUACAGUAUUUAUUCGGAACUCAUGUAUUCCCCUUUCCCGUGUGAUUGCUUAAUCUCGUGCCUUAAAGGCUUGGCCAUCAGCCUAGAGUGCAGCGGGGAGGAGAUGGAACCUGGAGGAGAGGGAGCUGAGUACAGAAAGUUGCGUCAUUGAAGGUACACACUUGGUGCCAAGACACUGUCUCAGGGCUGGAGAGAUAGCUCAGUGAUUAAGAGCACUGCCUGCUCUUCCAAAGGUCCUGAGUUCAAUUCCCAGCAACCAUAUGGUGGCUGACAACCAUCUGUAAUGAGAUCUGGCACCCUCUUCUGGCCUACAGACAUACAUUCAGACAGAAUACUGAGAAUACUGGAUACAUAAUAAAUAAAUAAAUCUUUAAAAAAAACCAACACUGUCUCAAACCCUAGCAAAUGGUGGAGGUGCCUACUUAACAUAUUAAAGUGAACCUGGCCACCAGGUUCUCCUAGCAUUCCUCAGUCCCUACCUGUUACAGGGUCUCCCUGACUGGCACACCCUGCCCCCUACCCAAAACGUCUCCAGCCCAGGUAUUGAGCUGCCUGUCCUUACCUUGCUGGCCUCUUGGUCUGGCUCUCCCCUGGCCCCUCCCCCUCUUCUCACAUGGCUCAGCUCAGCCUGGUCAUGUUCACUCUGGACUCUCCCAGAUGCCCCUGCCUCUGACUACACUUGCUCUUUUAUCCACAAUAAACUUUCUCCUCCACCCGUACCUAGGAGCAGUCAUGGCUUUCAUUUUUUAUUUCUUUUUUGGUUUUCAUUCAUCUGGUGCUGAAACCCAGAAUUGGCCAUGUCCUUUCUUCCUUUUUUAUUUCUUUCUAAAAUUUCAUUUAGGAUAUUUGUUUCUCUUUGCUUUCUGGCCACCGCAGGGGAAAAGCCCCCCUCUGUCGCAUGCUCCUGCUGUGACACACUCCGAUUCCCUGGGCAAUAUAAAACUGCUAGCCAAAAUAAGCCUUUUAUUAUCCCAGAUAUUUUGUUAUCGUGAUGAAAUCUGACUGAUACAUAUCAUAUACUUUAAAUUGUCUCUAGAUUACUUUUAAUGUCUGAUACAAUGUGAAUAGUUAUUACAUUGUGUCACCUAGAGAAUAAUAUUCAACAAGAGAAAAAAACGUCUGUACAUAUUCAGUACAGACAUCAUUUGAAAAAUAAUUUUGAGCUAUGCCUGGCCUUAUCGACCACUGUGGAGCCACCAGAUAUAGAGAGCCAGCAGUAGACACUUUCUGUGGGCUGUCCCUUCGGAGAAUUCUCACUGACAUAAAGAAUAUGCUUCUGGGUCUUGCCAGAACAAAAUUUCGCCCAGACAGAAGGAAGUGCAAAUAUGCCUUUUACCCCCCUUCCACCCGCCCAAGGCAUUUUCUACAGGCAGAAUCCAGCUACUCUUGCUCUUCCUGAAUGUUCUUCUUCACUAUGGGAAACUAUUGUUUUUCAGCCUUGCCCCCUACUGUAGGGUGGGGCUUCAUUGUUCUACUGCUAGCUAACUGCCGGAUGAAGGACGAUGUUGGAUUAUCAGGUCUUCAAGCCAAGGUCAGAAACCAACACCACAGUCCUGAGGCAUAUUGGGAGACAGGGAACACAGCAGAUACCCUAGGAGUUGCAGAAGAGCGAAUAAGGUCUUCCUACACCCAUGACUUUCAGGAGCUCUCUUUGACAGGGACUUGAGAGAGCCCGCAGAGACCACCUUCCUGCCUGCUGCCAAGUGCUGGUCUCCUUGCUCCAGCUACUCUGUCAUGUGACCUUCAUCUACGUCCCUUUCAUCUGUAACUAAAUCUCUGAGGUGACGGCCCCACCACUCCUCUCAGGUUCUGUUCAUUAGAAGUGUCACCUGUGCUGGCCCCAGCCAUGGGGAUGCUCACUGCAGAGGUUUUCUGUUAUGCUCCUGCAAUGCAGGUGUGAGAUGGCAGGUAUGUGACGGCAGGUGUGAGAUGGCAGGUGUGAGACAGCAGGUGUGGGGUGGCAGGUGUGUGAUGGCAGGUGUGGGACGGCAGGUGUGAGAUGGCAGGUGUGGGACGGCAGGUGUGGGACUGCAGGUGUGGGACUGCAGGUGUGAGAUGACAGGUGUGUGAUGGCAGGUGUGAGAUGAUAGGUGUGGGAUGGCAGGUAUGGGAGAGGUCCAGAAUCCAAGGUUGGGGAUGUAGCUCAGAAAUAGCAUGCUUGUCUAGCAUGGAUGAGGCCCUAACUACCCUGGAGGACUAUGGGAGGAUGCUGUAAGAAUGACACACAGCCGGGUAUGUGUGAGAGCCAAGCUGACACCUGUCAACCCAGCCAUGGAAAACCACUUUUCAUGACUGUCUCUCCAAGUUCAAAACUCAUCUUUGCAACCUCUGUUUCUUCAUGUUUAGGGGACUCUGCAGAUAAAAUGAUGUUUAUGUCAAGGAGCCUGGAAUAAGAGUCUCUGCUCAAAGGGAGGCAACACAGAACCAUCAGUUUGGACUCGACGCACCGUUAAUAAUCACCACGUGGGUGUGAAAGUCCAUAGGCUAUGGGAGGCUUAGGGAAAAUGGGGCUUUUUGCAUUGAGUCUCAGCCAUUAGCAAAAUACCACAUUGAAAAUUAGUCAGAAAAGGUAAUUAGUGUCAAAGAGCAAUUGCGGUAUCGUUAAGGUGACGGAUGUUGGUGCGGGGUGUGUGCUAAUGAUUUAUGGAAUUUUCUUUUGGGAGACAAUUGGAGCAAUUUGGUGGUCAGCAGACAGUCUGCAAAUCAAUCACUAUGAUAGUCAAUAAUUUAUCAUUUCUAUUUCAAGUAGGGAGUUUGCAUCAGCUUAAACAGAAGGGAGCUCUGAUGAAGGAUGAGAGUUGGCAUCCAACACAAUCCUGAGCCUGUGCUGUGUCUAUUUGUCACAGUCACUAUCUCUCUGAGGACAAUGUGACCUGCAUGAGCAUCCAGCCUGUCAGACUCUGGAAGAAGACUGUUCCUGCCCCCAGGCAAGGAUCUUCUUGGCAUCUUCCCAUUCUCAGUGUUGGCCUAUCAGGGACGCAGUGAGAACACCUCCAUGCCAAGGAAGUCUCAGCAAGAUGCUCAAGCUAGGACAUGAUCUGGACAAUAGAGUUUCCUGCAAGCAGAUCUAUCCUCCUAGCUCCAUGCCGGUACCACACAGUCCAAAUUCAAAGUGUGUCUUUCAUCUCGCUGUGUCUCAUAUCUACAGCGGACUAGGAACUCUUGUGUUU